CCCUUAGAUGUUCUGGGCCGCACGCGCGCUACACUGUUCGACGCAGCGAGUCUUAACCUUGACCGAAAGGUUUGGGUAAUCUUCAGCAAAGUCGAACGUGAUGGGGAUCGAUCAUUGCAAUUAUUGAUCGUGAACGAGGAAUUCCUAGUAAGUGCAAGUCAUCAGCUUGCGCUGAUUACGUCCCUGCCCUUUGUACACACCGCCCGUCGCUACUGCCAACUGAGAUGGGUCCUGAAUUGUUAGGAACGCCCGUCAAGGGGCCUACCCGGUCCCUAGUGCGGUGACGAGAAUAACUGUAAAUGGCAUAUCUUGUAGGGAGUAAAAGUCGUAACA
rnacentral:rRNA from 1 species